UGUCUGGAUGCGUGGCUGCAGAAACCUGCUUUUACCCAGGCACUCUGCAAUACAAAAUUAGCCCUGUUUUAUGUUACAUUGUCACAGUCGUAUCUGAGCAUCUUUGGCUUUUUGUAGCUUAGCUGGGGGCCAGAUACCUCAUUAAUGUAAACUGCCUUCUGGAUUACAGCCACGGGAGGAAGGAGAUGCUGGUUUGUUUUAGAGCAGUUCCUUUGCCUCUGGAAGAUCACAGGUUUCAGAGGGAUUUCCGUCUUUUUCUGCCACAGCUUAACAAAGACUGAGAUUUCAUAUGAACCUCUGAAUGUACAGGACCCAACAAGCACUGUGUAUAAAGGCUGGGACUGAAAUUUGAAAAGAACAUGACUCCAGACAAAAGACUCACUGAGCCCUGGUUAGCGUUGAUUUGCAAGGAUGCCUAUUGAGACACUGAAUAAGCCUUAGCUCUGAAAACAACAGUCCAGCAGGGCUAAAUCACAGCAGUUCUGUUUGCGUGGCCAUUUAUGUAGCCCAGAGUUGUCUCCCACAGUUUGGGGUUCUUCACACUUUGGGUGAUCUUCCUUGGUUCCCUCUGCAGUCAAUUGGGAGAGAUGAGAGCCUCCAGAAGGUGAGUCAGUUUUUAAGGCUGUUGUAAGACCUUGUGAAAACUGAUCUCCUGCCAUGAUCUGCCAGUAAGACAGUACUUCAUCCUAACUUAUGAGCUUUGAAUUGGGGACCUAAAGUUAUUUAAUACAAAUCCCACUUUUGCAGUGUUUUGGCAUACAUCCAAUGGAUGGGGAGCAGAGAUCAGAGUAUCUUCCCUCAGACCAACACUGCCCUCCUGGGUGCCAGACUUCUGCCCAAACCCUGGCCGUCAGCACAAGUUGCACCUGAGCACAGCAGCUGACAGAGCCUUGCAACAACCUUCCCCUGGCCCAAAGUCCUAUCUGCUACAGACGAAGCAUUUGGUCUGAUUUCAAAAAGCCAAGCGAGCAUUUUUGCUCCUGUUCCUUUUUUCACUCUAAAAUAAGUAUUGCACAAGCAGUAAGGGAAUGAAAGUGAAAAGGGAAACAAAACUUUCAGUCUCACUCAGCCAUUUAAAAGCAGGCAUGCACAUAGUUUCCACGGCUUUUAUUUCACCAGGAGAAGGUUUCCCAGGGGCUAACUUCAACAUUUUGAAUGGACCCAUGUUUAGCUGUUUCCGUAGCAAAUCACACAGCAACCAUGAACUGCAACUGUAGCCUUAUCUCCAUCCAGACACUUGUUCCCAUAGAGCUUUUUCCAGUUCUCCGUGAUCAGAACAAGAAAAUGUAGGUCACAUUAAAGCAACCCUCCCAGAGUUUCUUCGUAGGCACACCCUAUUGCAUACUGAGUUUGCUGACAAGCUGUUACAUGAUAAAGGUCUGUUUUCUCUGUAGAAAUCUGGUCCUAUGAUCUGCCUGUGAGAUUCUGUCCCUGGUUUUCCUAGGAUUUCACCUCCAGUGCAAUCACAGCUUGCUGAUCCAGGAAUGCAAAAAACUGUGGAAGCCAUUUGCUCCCUCCGCUUCCCUGUCCAUCUCUGCCCUGCAUUCCCUUUCACACAGUGGUGGGCAGAGGAGGGAUGACUGCUCUCCCCAUGUACAUCCCUUGUCCCAGGGCAGGCUCGGCAGGACACUUUUUCCCAUACUUAACCUUUCUCCACAGAUCACUGGUGGAGGGAAAACCGGGGUUUAUGUCCACCUGCUCUUUGGCCCAGAUAGCUCUUAGGAGUAUUUUUGAUUAAUUUUAUUACUGAGUGCAGGCCAUGAUGUAGCAGACAAUGCCUUGGCCCUGUGUCUGACCCAGGUGGCUGCUGUGGCAAUUGCUCCUACAGCUCACUCUCUGCCCCUCAGCUGCUUCUGUGUGUGUGGCUGACCUGGUGGCUUUGAUAAUCGAAUUUUUAUUAGCCUGUUAAGUAAAAUGCUGGCAUUGAGCCACUGGCAAGUUGUAAAGCUGGCUGAAUAAUUGGAAUGAUAACUCACUCAUAUUGAAUGUGGUCCACUUAGAGGUGGUGAGUAUUUCCUGAAUGGAAAUGAAUCUCUUCUAAGGAUUUGGUUUAGAUUACUUCACUGCAUGGUUUACUUCAGCCCUGUAAUUUUAUCACUGAUACAUAACGUAGGUUCAUAAAUAGAGCAAUAGAGCCUUGGCUGUGCUUGGAGAUAGUACUGAGCACUAAUGUAAAUUAUAAAUGUAGAGUUAGAAAAUGUAACAAGCCCAGCUGGCAAACUUCCAUGUAUUAUCUCACAAUAAUUGUUUCCAGCCAGCAGAGAUUUUUUUGUACAGCAUAAGACAGGUUAUUUAUAUUAUAUAUUUAGCCUAAAACUGUAAUAACAUCCUCUGGCAAAGGUAUUAUCUGAUGGUGUCUGAAAUGGAACCAGCUUUCCUCUUUCCAGGCAUUAAUAAAUGAAAAAUUUUGUGUCAUCUCAUGGCAUUUCCUGAAUUGGAGAAUAAAAUUAGGAGGACUUUUAAUUCAUAUAGUUUACUUCUUAAAAAGUAAAUCUAUUUUUGACAACCCGGUUUCCUAGAAUUGUCACAUGUGGUUUGUAUCACCAACCAGAGAAAUAUUUCCUUUGCCAUUCUAAUUAAGCAGAAACAACAGUACCACUAGCAGGACUGGCUCCUGACUUAGCAUAGUCAGGAAAAUACCUGUGAACAGGCAAGGCGUGUGAAGGUCACAAAAGAGAGUAUGUUUUUUCCUGUUUCCUUAGAAAUGCCUGGAUGCCUCUUAUGUUGCCCAUCUGCACAUUCUCAGGCAAACCCUACAGUAGUGAGGAUAUGAAGCCAAUGAUUAGGAAAACUAAUAAGGGUAUGUUUAGAAAUCUUAGGGAGAGACAAAUCUUAGUGUUGGGCCAUGCUGGCUACUGAGUGUAGCGUUCCAUCUGCUGGUGAGGGCAAAGAAUGAGUGUUGUGGUUUAACCCCAGCUGGCAACAAAGUCCCACACACCUGCUUGCUCACUCUCCCCUGGUGGGAUGGGGAGAGAAUCAGAAGAGAAGUGAGAAAACUUGUGGCUUGAGAUAAAGGCUGUUUAACAGGUGAAGCAAAAGCUGCACACUCAAGCAAAGCAAACCAAGGACUUCACUGCUCUCCAUGUGCAGGCAGGUGUUCAGCCAUCCCCAGGACAGCAGGGCUCUAUCACCCAUAACAGUGACCAGGGAAGACAAACGCCAUCACUCCAAAUGUUCCCCCCUUCCUUCUUCUCCCCACCCAGUUUUAUAUGCUGAGCAUGAUGCCAUAUGGUAUGGGAUAUCCCUUUGGUCAGUUGGGGGCAGUUGUCUUGACUGUGUCCCCUUCCAACUCUGUGUGCACCCUCAGCCUAUUCACUGGUGGGGUGGUGUGAGAGGCCUUGACUCUGUAUAAGCACUGCUCAGCAAUAACUAAAACAUCCCUGUGUUAUCAACACCACAAAUUUGUGUGUUUCCAGCACAAAUCCAAAGCAGAGCCCCACACCAGCUACCAUGAAGAAAAUUAACUUUAUCCCAGCCAAAACCAGCACAAACAGAAAGCAGGAGGAUGGUACUCAGGAUUUCUGAAGAUAUCUCAAGUGUUUUCCAGUCCAUUGGGUAACUCGGGAAGAUGUCAUGAAUGUUAAGAAAUCGGUUGGUCUGAGUUGCCAGCUCCCUCCCCAGUCUCAGGUCUUGGCCAAAGAAUUCUCUGCCAGUGUUUGGGUUAGGUGACAACUGGGUUCUGGCACAACCCCAGAAGGUCAGGCUGUGCUACUGACAGACUCCUUCUCAGUAAGGAGUAAGUUCCUCAGGGAACUCUAGGCAGGUCAGCUUAACUUCUGCCCUGGGAAAAGUCACUAAAAAUAAUGUAAUUGCUCAUAAAGAACCAAUCAGUUGUAAACUGAAGAUGCUGAUGUAGUAAGUGUAGAAGACACUAAUGUAAACAAGCCUUGUCAGACCUGACGCUUGGUAUUUAUUGUUGAUGAGAGCUCAAGCUUGAUGAAUAUGGGCCAUCAUAAAUGCAAAAGUUUUCUGUCAGUUAUUUGAGCAAGUGUCACAAAAAAGCCUGAUUUUUUUUAAAAAAAAAAGAAUAGGUGGAACUGUGUAACAUCAAAAUAUUCAAUGAUAUGAGACCUGGUGGAUUGAAAAGAUACAGCUGUCCAAGAAGAACUGUUAAGGGAUGGGAAAUUCUGUAGUGAAGUCUGCACAGAGCAGUAUAAGACUUAUUGCUGUUCAAGAUCUGAGAGUGAGCAUAACAUUUCUGCCAAGAAAUUGUACAGUGUGAACGCUGGCUGUGUAGGAAUAAUGAUGAAAAGAUGAGUCAACUAGAGCGGCCAGGACUGCUCAGUAGAGAGCCCAUCCAGCCAAGUGAUGUCUUAGUGCAGUCCCACUGUAUAUUGCUAAAUUAACUAUCUAAAAACGGGGGAAUAGAGGCUGUACUUACAGGAGGUGAGUUUCAGGGAGUAAGUAGUGACUGAAAUACUUUGGAAAGGUCAGAACAGAGAAGCAACUCAGUAGUAGAUCCCAGUGUGAUGGGAAAAAAGGUGUAGACCAUCUUUGGAUAUAGGAUUGGUGAGAAGUGGGAAGUGAUCAAAAGCCCCACAUGAAACCUUUGCUGCAAUACACAUCCCACUGGAGUGUUCCCACUCAAAAAGAACACUGAAGGAUUUUCUGCUGGCACAUCAAAGAAUCACUGAAAUAAUUCAAGAACUGGAAAAAAAGAGGCCUUUCAUCAGCUGUGGUAGAGUUCACCUUAUUUCAUUUAUUCAAAGGAAGAAGAUAUCAGUGUUCAUCACCCAGGGUGUAAACACUUACAUUAGGGUAAAACCCCAGGACGGGAUUCAAUCACCUGAACACACUCGCAGCAUGUUAGAUGACAGAUGUGUGACUCCUUUUGGGCAGGGGGAAAGCUGAGAGAAACUCUCAAAGCCCUGCUCAAUCCCACAUACGAGAGUCUGCUGGGUGCACACCCUGCACUAAGCCCUUCAGUCUUCCCGUGUCAGCAUGCUCCCCCAGCUGCUCUGGAACCUCUGCAGGUAACAGAAGACUUGUUUUAACAGAGCAGCAAAAACCCCAUCAAUUACUGCUAACAGUCACAUGCAAUCAGAUAAUAGCCUGCAGUUCCUGAUACAAACUCUAAGGAAGUCUCAGCACAGACAUAUAUGGACCAACUUGAAUUUGAAGCCAGACUCCAUCCUCCAGCUGGAGACCCAAUGCACUGGGCUUUCAAUCCCCAGAUGCCAAUCCUGCUCUAGCACUCUUUGGAUUUCUGACAUGCAGGGAACAUGGUUUCCAUACUUUCACUUCUAAUAUCGUAUAUUUCUGUUUAAGGUAUCAUUUAAAUGAUCCUAUGUUUAUAAGGUAUAUGGGCAUGAAAAUGGGAAAAAUAAAGGCAGCAGGAACUCAUUGCGAAAGCUGAUGUGCCUGAACACUCUUUGUGGCCAUGUACACCAGCAGCUCUGAGAGCCUCCACACAGCCCAGGGCAGUCCCUUCUCAGCACCCACCACUCCUUCAGGCACGGCAGCCAAGGUGAUCGGCUGCGGGCAAGUCACAGCAUCAUUCCUCAGUCAGCGUUUUCACCUGCAUCACAGCACCAGCAGGUCAUUGGAUAGCACUGACUGCAGUCAGGCAGGGAGUGAUAGGAGAGUAGAAAAGUCAGCAAGAGCAGCCAUGUCCCAGUGCUGCAGGAUGGGAUAAGCUAUUGCCACAGCUCUGUGAAGGUGAGAGUGUUUUUGAGGGAUUCUGUGCCAGAGUCACUGUGGCUGCCAAGGCACCAGGCCUUCCCUUCUAUGGGAUCCACUCAAUCCACAUAGGAAAAUGGAUGUAUACAAUGAACAUCUUAUGGGUGUAAGAUGGCAUGUUAAAGGAGUAAGGUCUAUUUAAAUGAAUGUAACAGCCAAAUAAUGACAAGUUCAAAUCCAGAUACACAUGUGCUGUGAGAAAAACCCACCAUAAUAAUGACAGUUCAAUAGAAAAUAAUGUCAUAUCCAGAUGUAAAAAAAUGAAUGUGGGAAUGUUUGUUUACUCAGUGACUGUACUGUAAUGUUUAAAUCCCAGUUUGUGUCAAGCAGUAGAUACUGAAGAGUGUGAGAAAAAGAUAUGAGGAAACUUCGGAUUUGGGGGGAUUAAUUCAGUAAAAAGUACAGUUGAUGAGAAAUACAUGCUUAUUCUGCUUUCUAAACCACCAGUGUUCCUGCUUCUGUUUCUCACAGAUUUGUUCUUAAUUGAUCUACUGACUUUGAAUUAUGGCUAGUUCGCACUAGUAUGACUACAGUCCAUUUUUAAAGCCUGGAGAACAGCAAUAUAAAUCCUCAGCUAGUGAUCAGAAGAUGUUACUGUGGGGAAAUAAAAGGUGGUGACCUGAAGUCAGGAGGAUAUGCAGGUGAAAAGGAAGCAGCUCAGAGACUGUGGCUCCAGAAGGACCAGGCAAUGGAAAACUAUCAGCCAGGUUCUUCUUUCUGCAGAGGGCAGCAAUAUGGGGAGCAGGAGCCAAUGGCCACAGCAAACCACUGAGCCAAGCCAUGGUUAUCAUCAUCUUUUGUCCUGAGUCUUCUGGUGAGAUAUGGCAGCUUGGCUGUGUGCCCUACCUCCCACGGGCACAGCCUCCAUCUCAUUCUCGUCUGUGCCAGCCCAUGCUGCUGCUCUGCACAGCCACGCCUUCCCACCCUCCCACCUCACUGCAGCUUCCAUAGUCCAUGCUGCAGACAUGCUUCAAAAGGUGCCAUGUAAAUGGUUUCUAAAUGAAAGGAGAGAUGAUUGGAAGAAUAGCUUGAAAAAAAUCCAUAUUAGAACAUGAGCAUAAUGUUUGUUUUACUCUUCUGCUCUGUGAGAGAUGUUGCAGUGCCACAUGUGAGCCUAGCUUAAAAAGAUCAAGAUGUCUUGAUCCUGGACAGAUAAAAAUAAAUAAGUCUAACAUA